rnacentral:rRNA from 1 species
GUCGAACGAAGAGGCCCCUUCGGGGGUACUUCAGUGGCGGACGGGUGAGUAACACGUAGGCGACCUGCCCCGAAGCAGGGGAUAACGGCUCGAAAGGGCCGCUAAUACCCAAGAGGAUCGCGUAUCGAAGCGCGAUCAGAGUUACGGCGUUUCGGGAGGGGCCUGCGGCCCAUCAGCUAGUUGGUAGGGUAAUGGCCUACCAAGGCGACGACGGGUAGGGGGCCUGAGAGGGUGAUCCCCCACAUUGGCACUGACACACGGGCCAAACUCCUACGGGAGGCAGCAGUGAGGAAUAUUGCACAAUGAGCGAAAGCCAGAUGCAGCAACGCCGCGUGGAUGAUGAAGGCCUUCGGGUCGUAAAAUCCUUUUCAGAGGGACGAGUGAGGACGGUACCUCUGGAAUAAGUCACGGCUAACUACGUGCCAGCAGCCGCGGUAAAACGUAGGUGGCGAGCGUUAUCCGGAUUCACUGGGCGUAAAGCGCCUGCAGGCGGUCGCGUAAGUGGGGUGUGAAAUCUCCCGGCUUAACUGGGAGGGUCAUUCCAUACUGCGGGACUGGAGGGCAGAAGAGGAAAGUGGAAUUCCCGGUGUAGUGGUGAAAUGCGUAGAUAUCGGGAGGAACACCAGUGGCGAAGGCGACUUUCUGGUCUGCACCUGACGCUAAGAGGCGAAAGCUAGGGGAGCGAACGGGAUUAGAAACCCCGGUAGUCCUAGCCAUAAACGUUGGAUACUAGGUGUUGGUGGUCCUAACCCCAUCAGUGCCGAAGCAAACGCGUUAAGUAUCCCGCCUGGGGACUACGGCCGCAAGGUUAAAACUCAAAGGAAUUGACGGGGGCCCGCACAAGCAGCGGAGCGUGUGGUUUAAUUCGAUCCAACACGAAGAACCUUACCCAGGUUUGACAUGCAAGUAGUAGUGAAGCGAAAGUGGAACGACCCUUCGGGGAGCUUGCACAGGUGCUGCAUGGCUGUCGUCAGCUCGUGCCGUGAGGUGUUGGGUUAAGUCCCCUAACGAGCGCAACCCUCGCCGUCAGUUAUACGUGUCUGGCGGGACUGCCGGUCUAAAACCGGAGGAAGGUGGGGAUGACGUCAAGUCAGCAUGGCCUUUAUAUCUGGGGCUACACACACGCUACAAUGGCCAGAACAAUAGGUUGCCAACCCGCGAGGGGGAGCCAAUCCUAAAAAGCUGGUCUCAGUUCGGAUUGGAGGCUGCAACCCGCCUCCAUGAAGUCGGAGUUGCUAGUAAACGCAGGUCAGCUAUACUGCGUUGAAUACGUUCCCGGGCCUUGUACACACCGCCCGUCACGUCAUGGGAGCUGGUAACACCUGAAGCCGGUGCGCUAACCGCAAGGAGGCAGCCGUCGAGGGUGGGACUGGUGACUGGGACGAAGUCGUAACAAGGUA